UGCAGUCGAGCGGAACGAGUUAUCUGAACCUUCGGGGGACGAUAACGGCGUCGAGCGGCGGACGGGUGAGUAAUGCCUAGGAAAUUGCCCUGAUGUGGGGGAUAACCAUUGGAAACGAUGGCUAAUACCGCAUAACGCCUACGGGCCAAAGAGGGGGACCUUCGGGCCUCUCGCGUCAGGAUAUGCCUAGGUGGGAUUAGCUAGUUGGUGAGGUAAUGGCUCACCAAGGCGACGAUCCCUAGCUGGUCUGAGAGGAUGAUCAGCCACACUGGAACUGAGACACGGUCCAGACUCCUACGGGAGGCAGCAGUGGGGAAUAUUGCACAAUGGGCGCAAGCCUGAUGCAGCCAUGCCGCGUGUGUGAAGAAGGCCUUCGGGUUGUAAAGCACUUUCAGUCGUGAGGAAGGUAGUGUAGUUAAUAGCUGCAUUAUUUGACGUUAGCGACAGAAGAAGCACCGGCUAACUCCGUGCCAGCAGCCGCGGUAAUACGGAGGGUGCGAGCGUUAAUCGGAAUUACUGGGCGUAAAGCGCAUGCAGGUGGUUUGUUAAGUCAGAUGUGAAAGCCCGGGGCUCAACCUCGGAAUUGCAUUUGAAACUGGCAGACUAGAGUACUGUAGAGGGGGGUAGAAUUUCAGGUGUAGCGGUGAAAUGCGUAGAGAUCUGAAGGAAUACCGGUGGCGAAGGCGGCCCCCUGGACAGAUACUGACACUCAGAUGCGAAAGCGUGGGGAGCAAACAGGAUUAGAUACCCUGGUAGUCCACGCCGUAAACGAUGUCUACUUGGAGGUUGUGGCCUUGAGCCGUGGCUUUCGGAGCUAACGCGUUAAGUAGACCGCCUGGGGAGUACGGUCGCAAGAUUAAAACUCAAAUGAAUUGACGGGGGCCCGCACAAGCGGUGGAGCAUGUGGUUUAAUUCGAUGCAA
rnacentral:rRNA from 1 species